CAGUGUCACAUUCUUUGUACAGCAAAAUACUGGAAGUAACCCACAUAUCUAUGAAUAAGGACUUGAUUGAAUAAGAUGGUCAUCUGUGCAGUGGAAUACCAUCCAGCUAGGCAUGGAUAGAUGUGCAACAUACAUUGUGAAGGAGAAAAAGUCAGUGGCAAACUGUAGUAUCCUAGCCCCCUUUUUUGUUGAUAGGUAAUGCCUGGCUAGGAAAUGAAUAUACAUUGAACUGUUAGCAACCAUCUCUAGGCAGUGGGAUUGUGCCCUUUAAUUUUUAUGCUAUUUCUGUAAUGUGUACCUUUUUUUACACUGAGAGUUUUGUUUUGUGAUCAGAAGAAACCUUUUCUUUCUUUGUUUUGUUUUUUAAUGAGAAAGGUGUUUAAAAGUCUAUGUGACCUGGGGAACCAUUCUCAAAUUUCAGUUUUGCCAGGGCUAGAGCCCAGCCUUUCAAGGCAGGAGAACAGUUGCUGGAAAGAAAUUGCACCCAGCUGUUAGGCCUCUGGCAAGCAAAGCCGCACCAGUACUUUGUAGCGGCAUUCUCCACCCAGCUGGGAGGGUUUGGUUGUUUCUUCUUCAGUAGAAGGGUGUAUUUUAAGGAUCUUAAGCAGGAUUUUUCAAUUUUGGCACUAUUGGCAUCUCAGACCAGAUAAUUAUUUGUUGUGGAAGCUGUCCUGUGCAGCCAGGGAUGCUGCUGAACAUUUUGCGACGCACAGGACGGCCCCCACAACGAGGAAUUACCCAGCAGAAACAUGUCAGCAGUGCCGAGGCUGAGAAACAGAGACGACUCAACAUCUUGGCAGAUCUCACCAACAACCUUAAGUGAAAAAGGAGGCUGCAAAACGAUCUAUCUGGCAUCGUUUACAGAUGCAUACGUAUAUAGUAAAACUAAAAGCAGACGAGAAUAAUAAACACCAACUUGUAGAGGGGUCACCUCUAGGGAGGGAGAGAGGGCAUGGAAUCAGAGAGGGGCAUGAAAGGGCUUCAGCUGCCAAGAGCCAGACAGCUUAGGUUCUAAUCCCGGUUCCACCACUGACACUGUGUAACCUCCGCAGGUUGCUUGAUCAAUCGGGGCCUCAGUUAUCACAACUGUAAAAUGGGAUGAUAUUGAUAAUAGUGCCUUCUUCACAGGAUUGUGGUGAGGGUUAAAUACGUUAACCAA
rnacentral:lncRNA from 10 species